rnacentral:rRNA from 1 species
GGACAAGCCCUGGAAACGGGGUCUAAUACCGGAUACUGAUCGCCUUGGGCAUCCUUGGUGAUCGAAAGCUCCGGCGGUGCAGGAUGAGCCCGCGGCCUAUCAGCUUGUUGGUGAGGUAAUGGCUCACCAAGGCGACGACGGGUAGCCGGCCUGAGAGGGCGACCGGCCACACUGGGACUGAGACACGGCCCAGACUCCUACGGGAGGCAGCAGUGGGGAAUAUUGCACAAUGGGCGAAAGCCUGAUGCAGCGACGCCGCGUGAGGGAUGACGGCCUUCGGGUUGUAAACCUCUUUCAGCAGGGAAGAAGCGAAAGUGACGGUACCUGCAGAAGAAGCGCCGGCUAACUACGUGCCAGCAGCCGCGGUAAUACGUAGGGCGCGAGCGUUGUCCGGAAUUAUUGGGCGUAAAGAGCUCGUAGGCGGCUUGUCGCGUCGGUUGUGAAAGCCCGGGGCUUAACCCCGGGUCUGCAGUCGAUACGGGCAGGCUAGAGUUCGGUAGGGGAGAUCGGAAUUCCUGGUGUAGCGGUGAAAUGCGCAGAUAUCAGGAGGAACACCGGUGGCGAAGGCGGAUCUCUGGGCCGAUACUGACGCUGAGGAGCGAAAGCGUGGGGAGCGAACAGGAUUAGAUACCCUGGUAGUCCACGCCGUAAACGGUGGGCACUAGGUGUGGGCGACAUUCCACGUCGUCCGUGCCGCAGCUAACGCAUUAAGUGCCCCGCCUGGGGAGUACGGCCGCAAGGCUAAAACUCAAAGGAA